UACGGGGGGGCAAGCGUUGUUCGGAAUUACUGGGCGUAAAGGGCUCGUAGGCGGCCAACUAAGUCCGACGUGAAAUCCCAAAGCUUAACUUUGGAACUGCGUCGGAUACUGGAUGGCUUGAAUUCGGGAGAGGGAUGCAGAAUUCCAGGUGUAGCGGUGAAAUGCGUAGAUAUCGUGGAGGAAUACCGGUGGCGAAGGCGGCAUCCUGGACCGACAUUGACGCUGAGGCGCGAAAGCUAGGGGAGCAAACGGG
rnacentral:rRNA from 1 species